GUAGCUGAACAUCUUACGGAUGGCCCAGGGCUCCAAAGGCUCGUUUCCUAAGUGAGAGAGAGCCUGGCUGAAGCUGUAUUACCAUUCAUUCUCCAGCCUCCGAAGUCUCAAAGCAUCACUUCCACCAUACUCUAACUGUCAAGACAAACACAAAGGCCCAGAAACUGCCAGACUGUCUUCUGAAGUGGCUAUAAUAUUUACACUCCCAUCAGCAGUGUAGAAGGGGUCUCACUAUGUUGUCUGGAGUGCUGUGGUGGAGUGGAGUGGCUAUUCACAGAGCCUGUUCUGCUGGGACACAGAAUCACUUGCUCCAUCUCAUACAUUGAUGAUGAUUAAUUUGUAUGUGUACCUUCCAAAAAAGAUGGUUGUGUUUGAAUGGAGGCCUUCUGGACAGGAAAAUAUGGAGAGUGCGUGCUUUGGAUUCAAGACUGGGAAUGAGGGGACCAGAAACCUAUUCUGUGGCUGUUUCUUGUUAGGACUUUCCUAAGCCUCUGGAAAAGUGCAAAGUACAAUUAACAUUUGAGUCUGUCUGAGUCAUGAAGAAAUGGAGAUUACUGAAAAUAAUUCAUUUUGGUAUCUUCUUACAUCCUGAGAGACUAAUCUUUCCAAGUUCAUCUGAGGCUCCUCUUCUCCAUGACAACCUCAUCCAGGGAUUUCUUCCUGUCCUGGUGUUUUAUGACAUGUGGAAGGGGACUGUAGCAGGUGAUCUCCAAAGUCUCUGGAGACUUACUAAUGUGCAUCCUCAUCUCGCUUGUAAGGAUAAUAGCCUUCCUCCAAACCUCACACACUUUUGGAGGAGAUCACUUUUUUUAAAGUGCAUGGAAAUGUUUUGAAACAGUGAAAUCUAUAAUGAUAGGUUUCAUAAUUCUAACAUCCACACCAUAUGAAUCACAUCCUUCCUGAGAUAAUGAGCACACAAUUGCCUGGAUACCUGAAGGAAUGGAGACAGCGGCAGAAAACACUGCAGAGAGGUGGAAACAUCCGUUAAUAUUUUAAAAUCCCAUUACUGCUACCAACAAUAAUAAUGGAUGCAUAGAAAUAGAUCUGGAUUAGCUGAGCUUGAAACAGUCCAUCUCACACACACACAAAAGAAUUUCAGAUACAGUGAACCCACAUGUUGAAGCUUUCUAGUAUAAUAAAAAUUUCAACUGUUCUGUUGAAUCAUCUGCCUGAUUGGAGGCUACAGAAAAGAUGUCAUCUUAGGAGUGCUUGCUCUGAGUGAGGCUCAUCUUCAAAUCUGAAUGACCACAAGGAGAUUUGAUUAUACAUGUGAACACCUCAGAAGGCACAGCCCACCCAGAAGGCAGACAGGAGGAGACAGACACUAGAGCUCACCGGCUCGCCCUCUCACUCCUACUCAUCUGAGAAGGCAGCCAGCUAACCCUUCAGCCAGGAAGAGGGUCCUCAUCAGAACCUGGCCGUGGUGGCAUCCAGAUCUUGAACCUCCGGACUCCAGACUGUGAGAAAAUAAGUGUGUUGUUUAAACUA
rnacentral:lncRNA from 1 species